GUUGAGAUGGCCGAGUGGUUAAGGUGUUGGAUUCAAAAUCCAAUGGGAUUAUCCCGUGCAGGUUCGAACCCUGCUCACAGCA